rnacentral:rRNA from 1 species
UUGAACGCUGGCGGUAUGCUUAACACAUGCAAGUCGAACGGAAGUAAAGGGGCAACUCUUUACUUUAGUGGCGGACGGGUGAGGAAUACGUAGGAAUCUACCUUAAAGUGGGGGAUAACCCGGGGAAACUCGGGCUAAUACCGCAUAUGCUCUACGGAGUAAAGGGGGCGCAAGCUCUCGCUAUAAGAUGAGCCUACGUCGGAUUAGCUAGUUGGUGGGGUAAAGGCCUACCAAGGCAACGAUCCGUAGCUGGUCUGAGAGGAUGAUCAGCCACACUGGGACUGAGAUACGGCCCAGACUCCUACGGGAGGCAGCAGUGGGGAAUAUUGGACAAUGGGCGCAAGCCUGAUCCAGCAAUACCGUGUGUGUGAAGAAGGCCUUCGGGUUGUAAAGCACUUUCAGUAGGGAAGAAAAGUUUAGGGUUAAUACCCCUGAACCUUGACGUUACCUACAGAAGAAGCACCGGCUAACUCUGU